UACGUAGGGGGCAAGCGUUGUCCGGAAUCAUUGGGCGUAAAGCGCGUGUAGGCGGUCCGGUAAGUCCGCUGUGAAAGUCGGGGGCUCAACCCUCGGAUGCCGGUGGAUACUGUCGGGCUUGAGUACGGAAGAGGCGAGUGGAAUUCCUGGUGUAGCGGUGAAAUGCGCAGAUAUCAGGAGGAACACCAAUUGCGAAGGCACGCUGCUAGGCCUGAGUGCGCGACUGACACUCAGGGACGAGAGCCAGGGGAGCGAAUGGG
rnacentral:rRNA from 1 species